CCCUGGUUAGCUCAGUUGGUGGAGCGCUCCACCGGUAAUGCAGAGGUCCCGGGUUCGAUACUCGGCCAGGCG
rnacentral:tRNA from 1 species